CCUACGGGAGGCAGCAGUGGGGAAUAUUGCACAAUGGGCGCAAGCCUGAUGCAGCCAUGCCGCGUGUGUGAAGAAGGCCUUCGGGUUGUAAAGCACUUUCAGCGGGGAGGAAGGCGUUAAGGUUAAUAACCUUGUCGAUUGACGUUACCCGCAGAAGAAGCACCGGCUAACUCCGUGCCAGCAGCCGCGGUAAUACGGAGGGUGCAAGCGUUAAUCGGAAUUACUGGGCGUAAAGCGCACGCAGGCGGUCUGUCAAGUCGGAUGUGAAAUCCCCGGGCUCAACCUGGGAACCGCAUUCGAAACUGGCGGGCUAGAGUCUUGUAGAGGGGGGUAGAAUUCCAUGUGUAGCGGUGAAAUGCGUAGAGAUCUGGAGGAAUACCGGUGGCGAAGGCGGCCCCCUGGACAAAGACUGACGCUCAGGUGCGAAAGCGUGGGGAGCAAACAGGAUUAGAUAGCCGUGUAGUC
rnacentral:rRNA from 1 species